CAGUCGCCGCGGUAAUACGGAGGGUGCAAGCGUUAAUCGGAAUUACUGGGCGUAAAGCGUGCGUAGGUGGUGGUUUAAGUCCGUUGUGAAAGCCCUGGGCUCAACCUGGGAAUUGCAGUGGAUACUGGGUCACUAGAGUGUGGUAGAGGAUAGUGGAAUUUCCGGUGUAGCAGUGAAAUGCGUAGAGAUCGGAAGGAACAUCUGUGGCGAAGGCGACUAUCUGGGCCAACACUGACACUGAGGCACGAAAGCGUGGGGAGCAAACAGGAUUAGAUACCCCGGUAGUCCCUGUCUCUUAUAC
rnacentral:rRNA from 1 species